rnacentral:tRNA from 1 species
GUGCCUAUAGUGUAAUGGUUCGCACGGAAACCUGUGGAGUUUUAAGUCCCGGUUCAAAUCCGGGUAGGCACC